AAAGGUACAUACUACACAUCAUAUAGAAAAAUCCUCUUUGAUCGUCAGGAUCACUAUGUUCCUUCCAAUCGCUCUUUCUUCUUUUCUCUCAAAGGUCAAGAUUCAACACGUAUGGAGGAGUAAGAAAUCCUCCAAUUUAAGGGACUUUCAGGGGCUUCAACUUAACGAAAAUAUACGCGCUAGCGAGCUAGAUGGCGCUGCAGUCAAGUACACCUUUUCUCGAAGGGAGAAGGGCUACGAGGUCGAUCGUCUUUUGUCUUAAGCCGCUCUAUAUUAAUGUGAAGAACAUGCCAUGUCGAAGCAGGUUACCGUGGGAGGAUGGCCGUGGACGGUUAGGCGUGGAAAAGAGGGCUGUCAGCACGUAGAAUACUAAACAGCAGCGAACCUGAGGCUGCAUAGGUGGCGCUAGUCUCAUUCGACCAAGCCUUUGCAUUUUAACUGCCUUUCAAGCUCGAGAAAAGACCUCGUGCAGAUUUUUGGCAGACAGUAACUUUGGAUAGCUACUCUGUACAUGUGUUUGUUGCGAAAGAAACAGAAUUAUGAUCUCUUGAAGGAAGAUACAUAGUGUCAGGUGUUGAGGAGACACAAUAAUUUUUAAAUCUUAAAUCGGAAUUAAUAUCGGAGGAAGGCAUUGAAGAACGACAUCGGAUGAAGCAACGAUGAGUAAAUACCAACGAAUUCGGUUGGAUGGCUCAUUAAUUUUCGAUGAGAGUAGAGGAAUCACAUACGUGACAUGCAUGAACACAUUUUUCACGCUUUUCUCCAAACACCAGGCGGUAUUUGAGAAAGUGUUUUCUUUGAAAAAUUGAAAGAGGCAAACCUUGUCCACUGAAGGCUUUAAUAAUAAAUUUAAGUAUCUCCAAGAGAGUUAAAUCUUUUGGUUCAACCCUUUGAAAACAUUGAUGUGUUAAAAGUGAUUACCUAUAUCGGCCAUCGAGAAGAAAAACAUUACACGCCAAGAGAUCAUCCUGAUACGAUUUACAUGAAACGUUAUGGAUGUUAUCUAUAAGUCGUGAUUUUGAACGUCCAUUAACCUUAGGUGUUUAAAAAAGCGCGAUAAAUGAUGGAAGAGCGGUUAUAGCCUGAUUUGGCGGAAAGGGAGGUGUAUUUGUUCGGCGAGAGUAAACAAUCCGUCUAGAGACCCAUUUCCGCUUGAUCGAAAAUAGUCGCACGGAGAAAGGGUUGCGAUGGAAAACCACAAUAAUCGAUUUUUUAGGUUUACAAGAGAGCAACAAGAAUAAUGAAAGAAUAUUAUAAAAAUAAGACACAAUUAGCAAAGAUUCUAAUUUAAGAGAGACAGGAUAUAAUGAAAUCAUAUAGGAAAACCAAAAAACCGCAAACAUCUAAAAAGAAAAGUAAAAUAAUGAUGAGGAUAAUCCAUAUCCUGUUGAUAUCGAAUUUUGCCUUUAUUUCAGUUCAGAGUAUCCGUUGGCCAAAUUAGGACAAUCUUGGAUAUCAAAUAUUUGUGACUAAAAGCCGAAAAUAUUCCGUCCUAAAUAUUCACAAUUUAGGAAUCACGUUAACCCGAAAAAAAUUAGUUUUCCCUUUUGAAACACAUGGUUAAUAAGCCGACCAACCGUCCAUGAAGAAUAUUCUUGGUGAAGUUGAAUUCCAUUUGCCGGAAGUCUGUCGGUUCCGCCACUCUUUUCAUAUAAAAUCAGGCUUUUAUUCCAUCGAAAGCUGGAGAAAAUGAAGAAAAAAGAGAAAGAGAAAAGAGAAACGAAGCUGAACUUUCGCUGAAAUCCGAUAGCAACGUCAAAGACAAUGUUUUUCAUUCUUGAAACACGCACAAUUACAUCAGAAAUAUAAUUAUAAUCGAUUGCGUAAUCUGAUCAUCCUCGAGUCGAAUGCCAGUGCACGCAUGACUCAAAUCGUUUAUUUUUGAGCUUCGUUGCGUUUUGAUAAGAAAAAUGUACAAUGAUGUUUUGGAAAUCUCGUUCCUCUUAGCAGAACUCAGAAAUUUUCAAUUUUAUGUGAUU
rnacentral:lncRNA from 1 species